CAUGCAUCUACAUACAGGUGCAGGACUGCUACUUUUCGGUGUCAUCAUUACCUGUCUUUUUCCAUUCGAUGCGAGAGCCCAAGUGGACAAUGACGUGCGACUUGUAGACGGACCCAGUGCUCAUGAAGGACGGGUGGAAAUUUUCAAGGAUGGAGUCUGGCUGAGUGUCUGCCAUUCGUACAUCUCGUCUUACAGCUUUGGGG